GCUGCUGACGGGUUGGUGUGUCACGUUGUGGGUUCAGUUCGCUCAGGCGUUCGCUGUGAAUGUUCCCUGCCGUGCGCGGCGGCCGGGCUACGGUAGCCGUCACGGCUUUUCUGUCGUGAGGGGCAUUGCCCGCAUCCAUCAGGUAGCCCUGCUGCUGAGGAGCCGGCGGGGACCCCGAGUCAGUGUGGUAAAGAUACAUGAAGAGGGAAGUCCCGCUUCUGCUGCUGCUGUUGAGAAAAGUAACGCUCUGGGAGGCAGAGUCGGAGCCGGUAGCAUUCCUGCACCGCUCCGUGGGCUCUGCUGGUCGCUUCUCCCUGCCGGCCCUCGGCGUGCCUGGCCAGGUGAGGUCAGGUGUGUGGAAAACAGAGGUCAGCCCCUGCCCGUUACGUUGCCCUUGCUUCUUAAACCACGCCAGGACUUGUGUGGAAGCAUAAACAAGUUCUUGUUGUGGCUUCCUGGAGAAAGCUAAAGGAUCAACUUGGAAAUGCCGGUGUGAUAGGUGGGAGAACUGGAAGCUGUUAUGAGAUACGCACUUAGCCUCGAAAGCUAGCCGUGCUCCCCAAGCACGCAGAAAUUUGUGUGGGUGGUUUAUGCUGCGUGAGGAGCUCCCAAGGCGCAGAGCUGCACUGCUGGCACUACGCUGAGACCCGCCAGCUCCAUCAGCAUUGCGAGGCGGUUUCGCUGUGUAGACGGAUUUCUGAACUUAAAGGGAAGAUAUUUAGAUCACUCAGUUUAACGCUACUGGCUACCUGUCUAGAACAAGCCACACAGCAUCAGUUCACUGGGAUUAGAACUACUCUGAAUAACAUGCUUUGGUCCAGCAUGAAGGAAGACAAUCUUAAUGAGUUAAGAGGCUCUUAAAGCAGACCACAGGAAUUUCAAGAGUGAAGCUGAAUGAAACCAUGGAAAUUAAUCAGGUGGAAGUCAAUCAUCGCAGCCUUAAGACAGAAUUUGUCAGAGCACACAGCCAUUGGAGACUGGAGGAAGGCAGUGAUGUGGCCUGCCUCAGACUCUGUCUACCUCGAGGCUCUUCAGGAUCAAAAGACAAGGUGUAAAACCUUUGUAUACAAUUACACUCCAGGAUGCAUUUCAAGGGCGAGGGCAAAAGCUGGUGCAAAUUUGUGAAACAGAUGACCUGCAUAUCCCUUCUCUCAUGACUCUUCCAACUGUCACACCCACAUUAAAAACAAUAGUCAAUACAAAUCAAUAAAAUAAUACAAUGACUAGCAGCACGUUCCUUGUUUUCAAGUGCCACUCUGCUAGAACAACGUGUAAUAUAAAUGACGAAAACCAAUACUAAUAUCAGACUGACCUACACAGAAUGGAGUAGUUAUCUCUUGUUCCACGAAUGUAUUGGCUUAUGCAACUCCCAUACUUGAAAAAUAAAAUCUGCAGCAUAAGACCACCCAAAGGAUUUAGUUUAUAAGUAGUGACUGUACACCUAGUUCUACAAACUAUUUAUUUUGGUAGUAAUAAACAAAGCACUGCAGAAAUGAAUUCAUUAUAGUACAUAUAAGUAUAUAUGUUAUUUGAUACCUUGCAUAAAACAAAAUUAGGUUCUGAUUCGAAGCCAAUUAUCGUCAGUAGAAAGGGCUCGCAUAAUAAAUGGUUGAGCUGCUGAUCUGUGUACAAAUACUUGAAAAACAGAUACGGAAAGUUUUGCCAGUAGCGAUCAUGCCUAGCAGUGUGAAGGAGAAUAUGGCUCUGUGCUCUGUGAGAGACCAAGUUAACUAACAUCUGGCACUACUGCUUUCAGGACCUGUGAGGAAUUUGCAUAUUAUGAAGCAAAACAAAACAAAAAGAGAGAAGUAAAUUGAGGUUAGAAAGCAGUCAAAAUAGGCUCAAGGAACGUUUUUUGCCUUGACAGAGUAAGUUUACUGCUAAGUAACCAAAGCACUCACAGCACAGUCUGUUCCUGUAUUGCUGCUGUACAAAGAUUCAGCUAACACAAAGCACAACAUCAAACGUUAAGGUGUUUUUUUCUUUCCAAGCUCUAACACAUCACAGCAAUGUGGAACGUCAAACCCCUUUGUCAAAAGAAAUCAAUUCUUUCAGACAGCUCAGGUUUACGGGAUAUCAGUUCAGCAAAUAAAAUCGGGACCACCAUGCAGUCGGGUAACUCGUAACUUGUCUCAUCAAAUCCACGCUGUUUUAUGAAAGAGGUAUUCCUUAUUAAAUAUUUAUAGCUCGCUAUUUAGACAGUAAGUAAAAGGCAAAAGGCAAACCAAAACAAUUCCACUGAAAGCAACAGAGAAGAUAGUUUCGAAACUAAAACAAUGUUUCCAUCACAGUAAAACAUCGGGGAAUUAAUGCCAAGCAAGAGCUCCAAGUCAACGGCUUUUCUGCAAAAGCUUCUCUGAACGCAGGGGCAUCGCUGUCACCAAGACGUGCCUGAAUUGUAUUCUGCGAACUGCUGCCUGUUUCAGACUCACACAAACACAAAGCUGUGCUUCAGCAGGAAAAACCCAAAAGGACUAACCAAGCCUCUCCGUGGGGAAAACAAACCUGACACAGCGGUUACUAUUAAUUAACAUUCUUAUUUGUUCAAUACUACUUCCAGUUUCCAAAGGAAGUGUGACAGGCUGAACUAACAAAAUGCUACUUCUCAAAGCUGCUAACCUCCUAUUUCCUGGGCAGACAAGCUACCCUUCGGCUCCAUACCAUGCGCUAGUGUUCAGCAGAGCAGCAGAGCUACCUACAUCCAUCGGUUACAGCUACGCACAGCCUUUGUAAAAAAAACUCAACACUUUAAAGACCUUUUUAGAGGCGUUUUUGUUACUUUCCUGCCAAAUGAGCCUAAGGAAGAAGCAGCAGAAGAAAGGAGACUGCGUGACAGAUGGUCACUAGAAAGCAGGCGACCCCUGAAGCUUUCUAGCUUGCUGUGAGUCAAUUAUUAAUGGGGAUUUCUCUUCUUACCGCCCCAUCCCAUGCGGAGAGGAGCGGCAGCAAAGCCUCCCUCAGAGCGCAUCCAUCCCCGCUAAGUGACUUGGGAAAGAAGCAAAUCGGCAGCGGUGAGCAGAUGGUGGUGCAAAGAGGCUCAGGAACAGGAGAGGAGACGAGAGGAGAAGCGAGCCCGCGGAGAUGGCGUGUCCGAGGCACAGACCGCAGGACUUACUGACCCGAGCUCUCCACUGGGAUGUACCGUGGGAGCUGCAGAUCGCCAGUGCUCUGCAUCCCCACCGCUUUGUUUAUCGGAAAAUAUUCAAAAUGGAAACCUGACUCCGCUUCUAAAAAUAGCUGAAUUUACUGAGUUUCAACUUGAAGUCCCACUGCUGAAGUGUGACAACGGUACGCAAAUACCUCGUCUUAUCUCCAAAAGGCAGCAUGUCAAGCCACUGGGGGAAAGCCUAGACGAGCUCUUCGGGUCUUUACAUUAGCUCUUCUCAAAAAAUAAAGUAAAACCCGAUAAAAAUAAAAAUAAAGAGGGCAGGGCAGGGCAGGGAAGAGCAACCACCGCGAGCGCUCAGCCGCGGGGAACUCGCCGCUCUGCCCGCCCCGGGCCGCAGCCCCGCUCCGCGCUGCCCCCUGCCGGACCGUGAGGCGCCUCUCCCUCCCCGCUCCGCCGGCCGCCCCGGCCCGGCCGGGCUCGGCGCUGCGGGGCUGCGGAACCCGCCGCAGGAGCCCCGGGGUGCCCGCCCGCGGCUCUCGGCUCCCGCACGGCUUAGCCCUGCGGUCUCCGUCGGGACGUCAGAAAACCGAGACGCUCGCGGGUCGAGCAGCACUUUGUUUUGAGAGGACCGAGUCACGGCACACCCUCCCCCCUCCCGGUCGGAGAAGACGUUAUGUGAGGCUCCCGCGUAGUUCUGUCCAAUUCGCAGGGCAAGGAGAAGUGCAUUGCUCGCCGCCCUCGAGAAGUUAAGCGAAUCCGUUUGGGAACGGCCCAAGCAACACGCGACUAAAGCGGGGCAGCGGGCAGAGCCCGGCGCUGGGACAGCUCCUUGUGCCGGAGGGGUACCGCGCCGCUCCGCACGGCCCCGCACGGCCGCAGACGGCCGGGAGAGCGGGAGGAGCCGGAGCCGGGCAGCGCCCGCCUGGGAACGGCGGUGGCAGCGAGACGGAGCCGCUCCUGCCUGGCUUCAGCUUGGGCUCCUUCGAGGGUGGGGGUGGGGGAACAGCUCGUUCAUUUUCUUCGGAGGCAGCGAAGGGAAACCGAACGGCGACCUUUUGCCGGCAGGGAAAGAUCUGACCCUUUCCGCCGCCUCCCAGCCUUACCUUGUGGCUUUCCUGACAAAGUAGGAGCGGGUGAAGUCGCAGUGAUCGUCCAGCCACGCUUCCACCGCUUCCUGCUCAGGCGAGGGGUGGCAGCUGCGCUCCAUGCUCCGCUCCGCGGCCGCUCUGCCUCCUCUCCCGGCCGCCGCCGCCGCCGUCGCUUCCCCCGUGAGCGGGGCCGGGGGCGCGGGGCUCCCUCCCUUCCUCCCUUCCUUCCCCCGCCGCCGGGGCUCCCGGCCUGCCGGGGCCGGCUCCCAGGUGCUCGCCCGGCUCGGGCGGCAGGAAGCCCGCGUCCGGCCCCGGCCCCGGCCCCGCCGCCGCACCUCAGCGCAUCCCCGGCCGCGGCAGGCAGCCGGCUCCACCUCCCGCAGCGCCUCGGGGGGCUGCCGCGCCCCCGCCCCGCCCGGCUCGGCUCGGAACGGCCGCGGAGCAGCGGCAGCAGCCCCCGGGCUCGGGCUGACGAUGCCCGGCGCCGCGGAGGGCGAAGGCGGCGUUUAUGAGCGCCGGGAGUGCUGCGGGACGGCUGGCCCGGGCGGUCCGCGCGGGGCAGGGAAAAGCUCAAAGCGAUGAAAAAGUAAGUUGUUCUCGGUGAGUCUGGCAAAGGGGCAAAGGGACCCCCCCCCCCGCCCCUUCAGUUAUUCUCCUUUCAAGAUGUGGCCUGCUUACGCCUGCUUGAAAAAGUGGGAAAACAGAAGUCUUCUCGGAGUGUUUCACGGUUGGGUGUCAGCUUGAAUAUGAGUAGGAAAGCCCUGGCUUUUCGAUCCUUCAUCCAGAAAGCCUACAGUGAGGCUUUUAAACCCGUUUGAGACCUUGAAUGAACACAGCCCAGCUUUGAAGAUGCUCCAGAUUCACGGCUGCUUUUUUUUUUUUUUUUUCUCUACUAUUAGAAAGCAGCAGUGAAAGGCUGGGUUAAUGCCAAGCAUUUUAUGUCUUGUUGUUCCACUCUGUGCUAUCCGUGUGCACACAUAAUAAUUUACCAACUGCAUUCACAAAAUACUGUACACAAAAUAGAAUGCGCAUAUCUUGUUUCCUGUGUCAUCUGUGUACAUAGAGUGUCUUUGAAGGCAAGACAUCAAUAACAAAUAGCAGCGUGUUUCUGUGAAAAGGGAUCUUUGGGGUCUUUAAAAUGAUUGUCCGAUAUAAUAAACUGAGAAAGACUGCAAGUUUGUCUGCCCCUCUUAAAGCCUCUCAGUGUACACGGGGCGAUGCACCUCAGAUGGAGUACGCAGCCCCACACACCUCCGCAAUACUCUGCAGUGCUUCCAGAGCCUUGCCUCCAGCUCCUGGCAGAAGAAGUGAGAUUCUGCAGUGUGAGCAGAGACUGCAGCAGGAACUUCACAGCAAAGCGACUGUCUGUGAGCUUGGGGGGAAUUUUUUUCUUCUUUGUCUUUGUGUAACAUCUGUCUUCUGGCUGUAAGUAUUUGUGUAAUAUGAGGCACACCGAAAAGGGAAGGUUUACAUCAACAUCACUCCUUAUAAUUCAACUUAAACAACAAAUCUCAGAAGUGCACGUGGUGACCAAAGAGCAAAAUGUGAAGAUAAAGUAUAAACUGGUUGAGGCAUGCUGCAAAAGUCAAGCCACUAUUCAAGGCAAAGAGGAAUCUUUCAACAGGGAAAUUCAGAAUGCAGUAAACCACAGAAGCAGACAGCGUGGCAAUAAGGGAGCGUGGUGUUUAGUGUCAAAACCUGAAAAGCAUGAUCUGUUAGGAAAAAAAAUAAACUUAUCACGUAACUCAUGGAUUGCUACUGUAACUGUUUCAUUCAGAAAAGGGGUUUGAGGCUACACUAGUAGUGGCAAUAAUUUCUUCUCUAAGCUGGGCAAAGCUUUCAGAGAACAGCGUUAUGUUAGAAUGCUCAAGAAAUACAAGAGAAAUAUAAAAUAUACAGUUAUCAAAUACAGACUUCAUAAAUAUCAGACAGCAUUUCCCUGAAUGGUCUCCUAUAGGAUACUGAUCACAGUCCUCCACAUCCCAUCCCCAAAAGCUAUUGCAGAAUUAUCACAGUUGAUCUAGAGGGGAAAUCCAGAACUGACCAAACAGAUGGAAAUCUCUCUUCUGUAAGGAGAGAGAAAGAGAUUUUUUACAAAAGGACGAAUGCAAAUAUAUAAUUUCAUUUCUGGUAUUUAAAAUACAAUAGGAUUUGCUCUCUGUCUCAUUGGAGAAUAACAAGAUAAUGGUCAACAAAACUAUGUCAGCUGCAAUACAUACCAUCUCAUUUCACGUAAUUAUGAGAAGCAUUAACAGAAAUAGGCAUUUAUACUGUAGUAAGAUUCAGUAAACACCAGACAAGAAUAAAUGAGCAUUGUACUGAGAUCUGUAAACAGUAGUGUUAAAGUCUAGGCUUUGUAAUAAUAAUCAUAGAAUGGGUUGGGUUGGAAGGGACCUUAAAGGUCACCCAGUUCCAACAAUAGUAUUAAAGUCCAGGCUUGCUGAGAAGUGAGAGUACAGCAUCCCUGCUCAUGCCACAGGGUACUGGGACCCUGGGCGAAGCUUCUUGGACUGUGGACAGCUGCCUAGAAUGGGAGAAUGUGCAUUUGACUUUGUACCAAAGGAGGGGAAGUUGGGCAGGGCCGCAGUGCACUUUGCUCCAGGCUGACAGCCACUCAAUUAGCCAUCCUACAGAUAUGAAUCAGUGAAGCCGAUGCAGGAGAUCGUCCUCCUGUGAAUUCAGUGGUAAAAUAUCAGUUCAAAUACUGCUACCCAAGCAAAGAAUUGUGUAGUCUCUCCCAAAAUAAAUCAUAAAAAUGGAGAUGUUGGGGGAAAAAAUUGAUACUUUCUCCGUAUCCGAUGGAUUUCCAUGAAUAAUAAUGAACAUGCUGUUUUCAUUUUUAAGGUGACGGGAGGGGGUGAAGGCCAAGCAUAACAGAGGAGUGAAUGUUAAAGGUGGAAAAAAUCUUUCAUAGUUUUGGCUUCCAAAGUCCUGUGAAAAAGCUCCAUGCAUCUUAACUCACACCCAGCUUCCCAGUUUGCUUCCAGAAUUUGGAUGACAGAACUGUUGUAGCUGUAAAGUUGAAAAGGAUCUGUGGUAAUGACACACAAAAGGAACGAAGAGCAGACAUGCUCAGAGCAACUGAUAGGCGGCUAGGAAGACUUUGAGAAGACUUGUGGCUUAUGACAAGCUAAAAUCCUUUACAAACAAAUUUACAAUUAGUUUGAUACACAGUCAGCAAUGCUUGAUUGGAUUUCUGAGGAGCUGGGAAAUUCUGGAUGAAUCAGAGAACUUCAUCUCUUUUUAAAUGUGCCUAAUGUUCUGUCAGCCAUGCAGACAAUGGAAAACAUUUGUCAAAACAGAUGGCAGUGCUAGCCUCUCCACCACUGAACACAAAGGGUGAGUUCAAGGACCAGUUAAUGGCAGGAGAGCCAAGAAAUAUUUUGAGAUUUAGUUGAACAUUGAAUAUACCCCAAAGAAUACACUAUUGCAAUUCCAGGACUUGGCUAUGGCCACACUCACAAUACUGCAGGAACAGUCAUUUCAUAUUCUGAUCUUCCAGCCAAAAUGAAGAACUGCUGAGGUGCGUGAAAAAUAAGAUGUAGCGUUUAACAUGGUUUUUGAAAAGACAUGUUCAACAGCUGGUUCAGUCCAAUAGAACAUAUUUUACCUAGCGGUUCAUGGUAGUCUACAGCACCAUUCAGUUGCUUUUCAUACACUAAGGUAAAUAUUAUCAUAAUAGAAUUUAUGCAUACAGAGUAUGCUAAGACUAAAUGUGAACAUAUCUGGAUUUUCUAUUUAAAAAUGCUGGCAUGUUACACCAUAGUAAGUUUAGAAGAGCAGUUAGGUAACCUGUUAAGCAGCUUAAAUUACUUUUUUUUUUUUUUAAAUUUAAAGAACUGUAUAGAGAUGUUCAUCAUAGAAUAAUAGAAUCAUUUGAGUUGGAAGGGGAACCCUUACAGGCCAUCUAGCCCAAUUCCCCUGCAAUGAACAGGGUUACUUGCAACUUGAUCAGGUGCUCAGAGCCUCUCCAGACUGACUGACCUUGAAUUUCUCCAGGAACAGGGCAUGCACAACCUCUCUGGGCAACCUGUGCCAGUGCCUCAUGUGCUCCACACCCUGUGUAACUUUCUUAUGAGCACGGAACAAUGAUAGGUACUUAAUUUCUAUGACUUUGGUUUCAAAUUGGACCUAGAAUAUAUGUUUUUCUCUUUAUAAAUAUAUUAGAUUCUUCUUUCAAAAAAAUGUAUUCACUGAUAUUUGUCUAUAGAUUUUGACAAUCUUUAAGCUAUGCAUUUAUUAAAUUAGUACUGUUUUAAGAUGCAUUCAUUAGUCUUUUUUUCUAAAAAUGCAUUAGACUUCUUUCUGUCAGAUGGAAAUUUAAGUUCUGUUGCCAUCUAAAAUAACCUUAAACUGUGUGCAAGUCUGUUGAUGAAAGCUGCUAGGUGCGUCUAGGUUAAUGAAGUUUUUGUAAUUUAUGCCAUUCUAGGACCCUUUUUAGAAUGUUUGUUCUGACUGGACUUUGGAAUUAUCCCCACCUAGAUUAAAGAAGUUCCAGAGGAUGCUGGUGGAAAAAGAUUACUAAAGUUGUGCGUCUUCUAGCAUGAUUGUUCUUAUGCCCACAGCAUGCUGAGGAAGUGAAGAAGGGAGGAACAGGGAGAACCCAUUUAAAACCACUUCUGUGUCUGUAACAGAUUUGUUUCUUCCCAAUCAAAAUGUUACAUUAGAUACAAGAUGCUCUAAACUGCAGCCUCCCUGUAUUGGCAUCUGUCACCAGCAGACCACAAUUUCUCCACCUCGGAGAACAGAUUAGGGCUCAAAUGGUGAUAUCACUAGAGGAAUAGUGGGCAUACUUCCAUAUGUCUCGCUCAAAAACUUGGUGAUCUUUAUGCGAUGAAUUUGGCCAGUAAGUCAUUUCUUGGAAGGCGGAGAUGGAAGAUGUGAGGAAAAUAGCUGUUAAGUUUUGCCUUAAGCACUGAAGAUCAGUGCAAAUGCCCUAUUCAGAUAUUAAUGCCCUUCUGUUGGCAGUAGUGUUCAACUUAUAAGAAACUGUACAUGUUCCGGGUAACUGUGGCAGUUGCACAGUGACACAAUGAGGUUUGUAAAGAUGUGGGAGGUAAUUAUUAAAACUAAGGAUCUUGAGGAUUCUCUUGUCAGAUUGCAGCUUACUGUUGAGGCAGUCUCAGGAGGAUCACUUGCUUAGAGGAAGCACAUUUCUUUUUUUUGUUUUGUUUUGUUACAGUACUUGAGUUUUAUCAAACUUUUUUUUGGGCUUUCAUCUGUCACUGUCACAGUGUAGUUUGCUCCCCAGUCAUUCCUGGAUCUGGAGCAUUUGGGAGCAGUAUAAAGAAGUGAAAAUGGAUGCACAAGACUGGAAAACCAUGCCUUUAAAUAUAUUCAUUCAAAUUCAUAUUUAUUAAAAAAAAAGAAAAAAAAGAAAAAAGAAAAAAAAAGAAAAACUGUAAGUGUAUUGUUUUCAGAAAUCCGGUUAAUAAACAAGGCAUUUCUUACCUUUGUGAAUGUAUUUAGUACUGUCUAAACCAAAAAGAAAUGUUAUUGACCAUUAAUUCCCUAUAAACUUAGGUUCUUUCACUUUAAUUUCACAAUGACAACACAAUUUGUUUCAUGCUAUUCCAGGGCUAUUAAGCUUUGAGUUUAUGUCACUUUUGCUAAAACAACUGGAAUGUAACCACCUGCAUAUUUAUCCUACUAGUCAAAUUCCCUCCACUUAACAGACCUAGUUUUGACUUCAUAUAUUCUCUGAGAAAGAACAAAGACAGCUUGUGGUCUCUUAUUGCGCAGCAUGAACAGAUUAUAUCAUUUAAGGUAUGAUCAAAUGUCUCAGUAAAUUCAACUGCAUGCAGUAAGCACUACUGUUAUUAGGCCAUGUUAAAGUAAGAGUGGAAUUCCCAGUUCUUUCCUAAAGAGCAUCAGUAUGUUAUUCCUAGUAAGUAACUCUUUUUCAUGCAGAAUAUGGCUUUGUUUUUGUUUGGGAUUUCAAAAGGUACCACACUAUUUUUAGUUACUAAAUAAUAUGAUUUAGUAACUGUUCUCAAUAGAUUGUGUUGGCAUCUUGUGAGGACAGCAUUCUAUUUUCUCUUAAAAUAAAAUCAGUUCUAUGAAAGCUGCGUUAUUUUUGUGAAAGCAUUUGUAUAUAUUUCUUUUGCAUGUUAAUCCUUAGCAUUAUUUUGCUAAGAACACUCUUAGCGUGCCAAAAAAAAAUCUCCUGAACCCCAAUUACAAACCAUUCUGCAGCCAAAAUUUCUCAUGUAAAUAUCACGUUAGGUAGGUAGCAGGUUCUGGAAGUACAGUAUCUGUAACCAACUUUUCAGUUUUCUGAGCCUUAUGACUGCUGCGUAUUCAAAGCAUUGUUCAUUUAUUGUAUUUGUUAUCUAGUUAGAUUGUAUAAUGUUUAUCCAGCCAGUUUGCUUUCAGCCUUACC